rnacentral:rRNA from 1 species
UGGGGAAUAUUGGGCAAUGGGCGAAAGCCUGACCCAGCAACGCCGCGUGAGUGAUGAAGGCCUUCGGGUUGUAAAACUCUUUGGACAGGGACGAAGAAAGUGACGGUACCUGUAGAACAAGCCACGGCUAACUCCGUGCCAGCAGCCGCUGUAAUACGGAAGGUCCAGGCGUUAUCCGGAUUUAUUGGGUUUAAAGGGAGCGUAGACUGUUUGUUAAGCGUGUUGUGAAAUGUAAGAGCUCAACUUUUAGAUUGCAGCGCGAACUGGCUGACUUGAGUGCGCACAACGUAGGCGGAAUUCAUGGUGUAGCGGUGAAAUGCUUAGAUAUCAUGACGAACUCCGAUUGCGAAGGCAGCUUACGGGGGCGCAACUGACGCUAAAGCUCGAAGGUGCGGGUAUCGAACAGG